AUUGAACGCUGGCGGCAGGCCUAACACAUGCAAGUCGAACGAGUGGCGGACGGGUGAGUAAUGUCUGGGAAACUGCCUGAUGGAGGGGGAUAACGAGGGGAAACGGUAGCUAAUAGCGCAUACCAUCAGAUGUGCCCAGAGGGGAGUAGCGCGUUGGUGGGGUAACGGCGCACCAAGGCGACGAGCCCUAGCUGGUCUGAGAGGAUGACGAGCCACACUGGAACUGAGACACGGUCCAGACUCAUACGGGAGGCAGCAGUGGGGAAUAUUGCACAAUGGGCGCAAGCCUGAGGCAGCCAUGCCGCGUGUAGGAAGAAGGCCUUCGGGUUGUAAAGUACUUUCAGCGGGGAGGCGUUACCCGCAGAAGAAGCACCGGCUAACUCCGUGCCAGCAGCCGCGGCAAUAC
rnacentral:rRNA from 1 species